rnacentral:misc_RNA from 1 species
GAUGAAGAACGUAGCGAAAUGCGAUAAGUAAUGUGAAUUGCAGAAUUCAGUGAAUCAUCGAAUCUUUGAACGCACAUUGCGCCCGCCAGUAUUCUGGCGGGCACGCCUGUUCGAGCGUCAUUACAACCCUCAGGCCCCCGGGCCUGGCGUUGGGGAUCGGCGGAGCCCCCCGUGGGCACACGCCGUCCCCCAAAUACAGUGGCGGUCCCGCCGCAGCUUCCAUCGCGUAGUAGCUAACACCUCGCGACUGGAGAGCGGCGCGGCCACGCCGUAAAACACCCAACUCUUCUGAAGUUGACCUCGAAUCAGGUAGGAAUACCCGCUGAACUUAAGCAUAUCAAUAAGCGGAGGA